rnacentral:lncRNA from 1 species
UAAGAUAGCAGAAGUAGAAAGGAAUAUCUUAUCAUGGACUAUUUAAUGCCAGUGAUUACGAAGCAAUGAUGCUAGGAAGUUUAGGAAGAUUCGUUAUUUAAUUCAGUUUACGCGGAAAAGAUAUAUGUUACCUUUUGAAGUAUUUUAUCUUAUACGUGGUAUAUGAAUUAUAAUUUAAUUUAAAUUUGAUAAAUUUAAAGGUGAUAUAAAGAAAUGCAACAGGUGCUGACGUGGAUGUGGAGAUUUCGUCAUUUUUCUUCGUAGAUAAUAAUUACCUGUGCAAUAAUGGAAGCUACCUUUUCUUUAUCUAUUGCUGUGUGGAUUCGUUUAUUUUUCAAGUGAUGUGGAGUAUCUCUACGAUGGAGUCUAUUUGGUCUAUUUGAAUCACCACUACCAUCAUAAUCAGUACCGUCUACGAUAGAAAAUUCGACAUGUCUUUGUGUUUCUUCAUUUUCAGAUUCUUCCUCAUCUUUGUCAUUUAUAUCCUUUGAUUCAGAUAUUGAACCUUCAGUCCUCACAUCCUAAAAAAUAAUUUUUAUAAUUUACAAAUCAGUAACAAAUAAGUAAAUAAAUAAACUAGCAUUAACAUAAAUACUUACAGCAUUAGAUUCUGUAAUAUAUUGAUUAAAAACUAUUUCUGGUUCAUUGCUGGACUGAAAAUCUGCAUUAUCAGCCACUAUACCAGAUCUACUAACCAUCUGGAUGGAUUUCCAAUUGUGGCAAAAGAAAACAAAUUAAUACUUCUUGCCCUGUUUCCUCAUCAACGUCUGUCUGAAAAAUCCAGCCGCUCCAAUUUAUAAAGUUGGGAAAGCGAUUCCGGCAAGGAUUUGAGCAAAUUUUCCCUCAACUCCAAU